UGCAACUAGUUUAUCUCUUCAGACAUGAGCCCUCUGCUUCCCUGCGAUCUUCCCAUUCUUGCGUGUACUUGUGUUCUUAGAAUCUUGCUUCAUGCCUUAUAAUAAUAGACUCUCUCAGGUGGCACAAUCAAGCUCCAUGCCUCUUAAAUAGUGAGGAUGUAUUGUACUAGAACUUGCUGCAUAGUGUAAAAUCAGCUCUACGUUCCAAAUUGCAAUCCUUUUCAUGUCAGAUGAGGUAUUAUUUUUCCAAAGCUGGGUUGUGGCGAGGCUUCCUACAGAUGGUGAGAAGGAAAAAAAAAGAAAAGAAAGGAGACUUUUCACGUUGGAUUCUCAGAGUCAUUCAUUUAACUGACAAAUGAUUUGUAAUUUUUUAGGUAUCAUGUCCCUCGAUCAUGGUUAAAGCCAAGAGGGAACUUGCUGGUUGUGUUUGAAGAAUGGAGUGGAGAUCCAAAUGGGAUUUCUUUGGUUAGAAGAGAAGUGGACAGUGUGUGUGUGCUGAUACUUACGAGUGGCAGCCAACUUUGAUGAAUUAUCAGAGUUGUAAGAAAAGGAGAUAGCAGGGUGUAGAUCCUCUCCAAAAUUGAGAACCGAGAGAUUAUUGUGGGAGACAAUAAGAAGCUCCACAUUUCAAGGCUGAAAACUGCUCUCAAAUUAUUUUGAUUUAAAAUGUAAACAAUAAUUUUUUAGAAAAUAAAAAAAACUCCUAGCUAUGGAAAGGAAGGUAAUUUUUACAAAAAAGGAAGACCCCUCCGUGUUAUUUCUCUAGAGAAGGAUUGACAUGUCGGUUAAUAGAAAGAAAGGACUGAUUCGCACGUGCCAGCACCUUGCGUGUGUUUUUUUUUGCAACUUUUGAAUGCGAUAAUUCUGUAUAUUAUGAUGAUAGAAAACGAAGUAUUUGGACUGGAGUUGGGAGAAGAUAAGACCCGUGAAACCUCAUCAUCUAUAAGCCCCCCAAAAAGCAAAGAAACAGAGAAGCAAACACUGGUGGCUGCAACGCUACAGCUGCUACAGAGAGAGUGUCUGUGUUCGGGUGUUUAUCGAAUGGUUUUCAACAGAUGACUUCAAUAUCCCAAAGCGUGUUGAUGGCACUGACAGUUACAGUCAACAAGUUUGCUUCAUCAAAUGUUCAUGCAGUGAGUAAAAAAGAAGGUAAGAGACCACCCAAAGCAGCAACAAGGGCAGCUGACAUUGGAAGAAGGGGAGUCCUCUUAUCUACCAUGGUUGAUGUGUUUUCAGUCAAUGACUCAAGCACUGAUCUUCUUAGAAGAUAUCUGAAGAAAUCAGAGGAAAACUAGGCCAAAAAUGACAAGGAGGUAUAGCAUUAGUUGCCACAGUACUACCUCCUACUGCUAAAUUCUCCUCUCUUUUUCUAUGGGUGGUUCUUGUGGAAUUGAAUUACAAUGACUGACAUUUGAAGAAAUGAAUGGAGGGAAGGGUAUUCUUGAUUGGCCAAGAUCUAUAUUCUGCUGUUGUCAACAGCUAUAUAUAAAUCAUAAUCAAGAUUUUUCUUGUAUGUUAAUGAAACUUAUUCGCGUUUUGCGUUCUCCUUUUCUUUUCUGGUGAAGAAAUGCACUCGAUCGAUUUU